GAUGAACGCUGGCGGCGUGCCUAAUACAUGCAAGUCGAGCGAACAGACGAGGCGCUUGCUCCUCUGACGUUAGCGGCGGACGGGUGAGUAACACGUGGAUAACCUACCUAUAAGACUGGGAUAACUUCGGGAAACCGGAGCUAAUACCGGAUAAUAUAUUGAACCGCAUGGUUCAAUAGUGAAAGACGGUUUUGCUGUCACUUAUAGAUGGAACCGCGCCGCAUUAGCUAGUUGGUAAGGUAACGGCUUACCAAGGCGACGAUGCGUAGCCGACCUGAGAGGGUGAUCGGCCACACUGGAACUGAGACACGGUCCAGACUCCUACGGGAGGCAGCAGUAGGGAAUCUUCCGCAAUGGGCGAAAGCCUGACGGAGCAACGCCGCGUGAGUGAUGAAGGUCUUCGGAUCGUAAAACUCUGUUAUUAGGGAAGAACAAAUGUGUAAGUAACUAUGCACGUCUUGACGGUACCUAAUCAGAAAGCCACGGCUAACUACGUG
rnacentral:rRNA from 1 species